UAUUGUUUGUGCACUGGCGGCGGACGGAAGUGCAUUCCUCUUAGUAUAGAAGUAGGCUACAGCAGGGAAAGUGAAUACCGGUAACUGGUCCAGGAAAUAUUACAAUUCAUCGAAUGUUAUCAAGCAGAACCCUGCAUUUGGGACCCGAGGAAUAAAGACCAUAAAAUUAAAAAAAAUGUCUGAUGAGUGGAGUCGUCUCAGUGAAGUUUUAAAGAAACCUGUAAAGGACAUAAAAACAAAAGAAAAUUCUUAUCGUCACAUUUCGUAAACAUUUAAAGAAGAAACAAGAUUGCAUUCGUUCUGGCUCAGGAGUCGAAGAAAAUAUUUAGGAACCAGUUUGGUUUGCAUACCAGCUUAUGGGAUCGUUUCUUCUGCCAGUAUAUAACAACAAGAUGGGUUUGAACUCAGAUAUGCAAUCAAGAUCUUCAGGAACAGCUGGCAACGAAAUGGUGAAUGAAGCCAAGGAGACAGAAAGUUAUAAUAGUGUGGUGGGUUCCUCGACUUCUGCAUCUACGGUUUUUUCACCAUCUACAAGUAAAUCUAAGGAGAAAUCUCAUCGUCACACUGCUUCAAAUAUAGCGGAACAGCUAAUGACCAGGGCAUUUCGUCAAUUAACGAAUGUACUUAGUCAACGUCCAUCAUGUACAAAGGCUGAAGAUGAUGAAUGUGAUAUGUAUGGCAAGCUAUUAGCCAAAAAGAUGCAGGAACUUCCUCAAGACGACAGGAAAUUAAUGAUGUAUGAAAUAGAUGGUUUAUUUAUCAAAAGAAGUAAACAGAGGUCAUUUUCAUGUGAAACACCAUCCCCUCAAUAUUCAUUUCAGUAUUCUAGACUAUCAUCAGUGUCAAGCGGAUAUAUAGUAGUACCAAACUGCUCAGCAUAUGUUCAGACAUCAUUUUCUGAACCUUCUACCCCAACUCAUGACCCCUGCACUACCAAUCCCAUCUCCAAUUUUGAAAGAUCCUCCACUCCUUUACCACCACCACAUAUCCUUGAAAUAGACAUGACAACAUAACUAUUUACUCAACCAAAUCCAACCCUUCACAGCCCACCUCUACAAUUACUGUAAUACUGGUACCGGUAUCUGAUGGAAUAAUCGUGCUUCAGAGACAAAACAUUAUUAAUGAAGCAUUCGAGAAAGCUUACAAAGAUUUUGAGCAGUAUGAUACUAGAGCAUAAGUAAUAACAAUUGUACAGAUCACUGAUUAAUAUUUUUGUACACCUAGCUCUUCAAACUAAUAAAAAAUAUCAAAAACAAAA